rnacentral:lncRNA from 1 species
AAAGAGCGGGAAUAAAAUUUUAUAUUUUAUUCUAAUUUGUUGGAUUUUCAAAAACAAUUUUUGUGAGUUGCUGCAAUUAUGUGAUUAUUUGAUUUAAUUGUGUUAUGUGUUAGAUGUGCAAUUUUAAUUAUUUAUUUUAUGUUUGAGCUGUGGAUUUACAGUUUUGAUUUAUUUUAUUUUUUGACAAAUCAAAAUUUUCUUAUGAUUUCAAAAUCAAUAUUGUGUUAUUUGAGUCCAAAUAUUUUAUCCAAUUUAAAUUACCAAAAUAUUCAAAUUUUGGGUAUUUUAUAUGUAGCUGCCGGAUUUAAAAAUAUUUGAAAGUCUGCAAAUGAUUAUUUUAAUUGUUUGCAAUUUAAAAUAAUUUUGAGUGUUAUUUGUAAAAAUGGAGAAAAGCUUUUAAAAUACUAUUUUGCAAAUGUUGAUUAUUAGGGAUAUUCAAAUUUUUAGAAAAUUUUGUUUCUAAAUUGGGAUUGAAUAUUUUGAUUAAAUAAAUAGUUUUUUUUUGUUUCAUCUUAAUUGUCAAUUAUGAUUUAUUUAUUUUUAAAGAACAUUAGUACACGUAUGUACUACACCAUCAGUACGUGGCUUUUGUUUAGUGUUGUUUUUAUAUAUAAUUGUGUUCAGAGGAGCCGCGUGUAUAAGAAGUUUUGGGAGCGGCUGAUUUAGGGUUUGUGCACAGGAAAUUAGUGAUUUAAAAUCAGAAGGGGGCUCAACAGUAGAGAUCGAGGGAAAGGAUGAGGCCGAGUUUGGCCGGAGUCGGAGCGGCCACAAUCGCCGCGUUGUUAACAGCCGGAGAUCGGAGGCUGAUGGUGGUGUUUGAGCAGUCGGCGGUGACGCCGUUGGUUGCGAGACGGAGGUGUUGGCGGUAUUGAAUGGGAACGGUGAUGGUGAUGGGGGUUUGAUUGGGGUUGCAGCGGCUGAAAGGCGAAGGUGGGAGGCAGAUGGCUGCGUCUGGCCAGCGGCGGCACUGUCGCGAGGCUGGGUUGGAGUUGAGAUAUGGUGAGGCUGAUGAUUCGAUGGGAGAUUAAGGUGUAGUGGCGCUUUUCCAAACGAAGGGGGAUUCGGGAUGAAAGCCGGAGAUUGGGGAUUGAAUUAUAUGCGGGUAGAUAUGGCUUUACUGUAUCUUUGACUGUAGUUGGGGUGUGUGUAUGUGUAUGUGUAUGGGUAUAAGUCGGGGUGUGAGGAUAUGGGUAGCUAUACUAGUGUGUUUUGUUGCCAGCCACAGUUAAUUGUGAGGCUAUGGUUGGGGUUUUCAAUUAGAAGUGAAGUAAGGUGUUAAGAUGGGGAGGUUAUAGAAGGAUGCGGUGGUGAUUGUUGGAGUAGAGAGAAGGUAAGGAAUGGUGUGGUUAAAGUGUUUGAUAAAUUGUUUGAGAGAGAUGUGGUGUUGGAUUGGUGUUGUAGGAUGUGAGUGUAAUUAAGUUGUGGUGAAGAAGGUUAAGGAAAAGAUGUUUAGCCUGUGCUGAAGUUGGGUGGCCAUGAGUUUGGUCGGCAGUGGGUGAUUUCAUUGUUGAUUGGGUUGCUAUGACCAUAGAGGAGAAGAGCAGAGGGGAUGAAUUAUAGCAAAGGAAUUGAAUGAUAUAGAUUAUAUUGGGAAGGUUGUGGGUAAAUUGUGAAUUCUUUAGAUUGCAUCUUAUAUCUAAAAUCUGGAGUUAUCGAUUGAUAGAUGUUUUAUAAUUGGUCAGAUCUAAUUAUACGCAUUGUUCUAAGGAUCCUGCAUUUAGAAAUUCAAUUCAAAUAUUUGAAUACUAAAUUGUGAUUGGAAGUGCAAAUUGUAUUAUUAUUAUUAUAACACGUGCUUAUUAUCGGGACUUAUUUCUGGAUCUCAAUUGUUUUGGUCUUGCGACGGAUGUCAUAGAUUCUAUUUAAACUCCAGAAACAUGUAUUAAAUCCGGAAAUCGAUUUUAGUUCUGGAUUGAGUCUAUUUACAAGUAUAUUAUUUGGACAGGGAUGGUGUGCUAUUGAUUUGAGGAUUUGCUCAAUUUUAAAAUACAAAUUGUCCAAAUUUAUAUUAUUUUAUUAUUUUAUUUGAUUAUAUUUUAAGUUGAUUCAAGAUGUGUUUGAAUUACAAUUGGAUUUGUAAUUCCGAAAGACUUGAUUUAUAUUUGGAAAUGGAUUGUAGCCAGGGGUAUAUUUAUCGUCACUAUGUUAAUUAUUUGUAUAUAAUCAUAUAUAAGAUUAUAUACAUGCUUUAUUAAAUUAUAUUUAUAUAAAUAUUAAGGCAUGUAAAUUAAUUGAUACGUGUUGAUGUGAUUAUGUGUUUAACUGAUUAACACUAUGUGUAUAUAUUAUUUGUAUAAAAUAUAUAUUUAUAUGACGAAGGGUAGUAAUAUAAUUUUUCGAUUCUGCGAAUUGACGACUUUCUGGAUUGCUCUCGACUGAAAUAUUAUAUUGCUUUGAUAUAUAGUCUCUCGAGACGCGUGCAUCAACGAUUGUCGGAAACAAGCAAAUAGCGUGGCAAGGCAAGUCAGAAAUAUUUUGAUAAGGCGAUAUUGUGCCGUAAGAUAGUCCAAUAGAUUAUAGUCAUUUCAGAAUUAGCGAUUGAGGCCAAUCUAGGAAUCUCGAGUAGGUGAUUGUAUGUCACCUGUUUCUGUCAAAUGCAAGUAUUUCUAUUCUUCUCUUAUUUAUUAAGAGCAAGUGAUUUUAUUCCACAACCUUUAAUUAUUGCCAGUGCAAUUAUUAUAUUCUGGACUUCAAUUCAUAGAAUAUCAUAUGCUUGGAAUUUAACUGUUGUUCGAUAUUCCAUAUACCAUACAGAUACUCAAAUAAUGAUUGAAUUCAAUACAUUCCAAUGAUUGAAUUCACUACAUUCUAGUAAUCAUUCUACUAGAAUUCUCGAAUUACUUCUAAGAUAGAUAGUGGAAAACUAUGCUAUCCAGAUAUACUCCAAAC